rfam:Jatropha curcas cultivar GZQX0401 scaffold684_10, whole genome shotgun sequence.
UAACUGAAAUGAGAGACGGAUUGGAAGUGUCUCUUUGUUGAGAAAGAACAAUGAGGUAUAUAAAAGUCCAUGGCCGAGAUAUCGUUUCAGUCGUUAGUCAUCGAUUGACGAUUCGAUUGUUGCUCGUCCACAU